GCCGCCGCACCGCGCAGGCGCGGGCCGACCCGCCGUGACGUAACUGCCGGCGGCGCCGCAGGUACGGGAGGGGCGGAGUUCCGGGGAGGGGGCGGGGCGCUGAGCGGUGUCCGUGGAUACGGAAGUGAUUGACAGAGUCCUUUGGCUGUGGCUGUGUGUCGUGGUCACUUCCUGCGCCCUAUGCGUGCCAUCAGCUCAGCGUUAGCAGCCGCCUUGGCUUGCAGCUCCUUCUCCCGGGCCAAGUCCAGCAGGAUCCUCAGGAUGUGUGUGGGGACAUCGAGGGACAGGGACACCUUUCUUGCCGUGCUGCUCUUUUUUACCACAGCGGCUCUGUUGGUGUCAGGGUUUGGCAGCCAGGGCCAUGCUUCUCUCACCGACUCCUCCAGCAGCAGCUGCGUGGUUCCAUCCAACUGAGAGCCAUCCCCAGAGCCGUGGCCACGUCUCUCCCCAGGGAGCCCCAGCAUUACCCCGCUGCUGCCCUCCUUGUCCCAGCCAUCUUCAUGCCAGGGGACACCGGUCACAGCGGGGCCGUGGGGAAGGCUCAGCCCCUGCACCAUGCCCCAUGGCAGUAGCAGGAAGGGCAGCAGCACAGCCUGCAGGAACAGAGCGCGGCACUCAGCAUCACCCCCCCACCUGGUGUCCCCUGUCCCAUUCACACCCAGGGGACGGGGCGGUGGCAGCGUAGGGAUGGGGUGAUGAUGGCAGCGUGGGGACAACACGGCGUCUCCUCCCGCAGCCACUCCCCGCCCCACAGCUGCCCUUUGGUCGGGAACGUGUGACGUGGGACUGGGACUCACGCCACCACUGCCUCCUUCCAAGCCGCCCCCCCCAGGAGUGCCACCCCUCAGCUCUGUGGGGCAAAAGCUGCCUUCUCGGAUGGAACGAUUUGCCCCAAAUAAGCAGAAGGGUGACAAGAGCAUGAUGCAGCCACCUGCACGGCAUCCUCAGCAUCCUCGUCUGCAGGACCCUGCGCUGCUCUCGGAGCUGGCUGCAAAAAGCCAGAGGGAAGCAGCGGAAUGCAGCCAGCAUCCUCAUCCUGCAUCCCACCUCCUGGGUGAAACCCUUUGGAAAGCACCAGAGCGGGCAGCCAGAGGCAGCCGGAUGAGUUGCAAACUGGGUGAUGAAAUCACCCCGGGAUGCGGGUGGGCGUUUGCCCCCUCAUAGAGCCGAAUUUGGAGGGGAUUUCGGGAACUCGGCAUAAUCAUCUCACACUGGACAUCCAACUAACUGCUGCUCCAUAGAACCGAGCCUCCCCAUAGGCUCUGCUGCGGGCUGGAGUGCCUGUGCUCAUGGGGUGGUGGAGAGAGGAAAUAAACGGGGCUCUGUUCUUCCUUCUGGAAA